AUAUAUAUAUAUAUCUGAAAAAGAAAGAAGAACAUAUUGGAAGCGAAGCAACGUGGCAAAGCCAUGGCUUUGUAAAAUUUAGGGGAAGCCAAAUCCCGAAAACUAAACAGACAAAUCGUGUGAGUAGUCUAUGGCCACUCCUCUGAUUCUGAGAAAUUGUCCCACUCUCUGCACUCUCAACUCUAACCAACCCCCUCUCCGCACUCUCACAUUAACU
rnacentral:lncRNA from 1 species